ensembl:lncRNA
CUCAGCAUGGCUCCCUGCAAUCUACUCACCUACACAUAGAGAACAACUCUUCAGAAAGAGGAAACACUCCGUUUCUCUGUGAAAACAACAUUUAAAAAGGAUACCAGCUGCUGCUGGUGAGGCAAAUAAAGGCAAAGUUAGUGAGGAGCUCUUGUGCAUGAAAGCCUCAGGCUCUGGAAUAAAUAAAUGGAGGAGUGGAAGGUUAAACUGGGUAGUGCCCGAGACUGAUGGAGGGCAGAGUCCACCACACACAUUAUACAGAGGAAUGAAAAUGUGGUUGGUGAAAUGUAGAGAGUGCUGAACAUUUACCAAAGAGCUGGCAUGAAAACUGCUCAUCAAGUGAGCCAUAAAACUGUGGGGAGAGAUGGACAUAUAUGAGUAGUGUCAGGUGUAUGCAGGAAGCAUGAGUCUUGAUGGCAUGGAGAUGUGGAGAAGGUGAGGGGCCUCUCUGAAUGGUGCCUUUGCCGUGGGAAAAGAACUUGACAUACAGACAGGGUCUUUCUAUGGAGUUCAGGCUGCCCUUGAACUCACAGUGAUCCUCUACACUACCACACCUGACUAUAGUUCUUCUUGAGUAUCACUUGAAUUCAGUGACCUGUGCAUGUUGUUAAUACCAAAGAAGACCGAACCUUGGCUGAUAAUUUAUGGAUCCUCAGGUAAUCAUACCAUGACUGCCACAAAAAUAACUUUCUUUUCCACUUAAUGUUCCCCUCUACUCCCCUAGUGGGCUCUGACAGUACCUGAGUAACUCUGGUGGAAGUCACACAAACUGCAUUUUACUUGAAUAGUUCCUGAGGUAGUACGAGAAUGUCUCUACACUUGACUAAAUGAGUCAGGUCAGCUUUUCCUUAAAUUAUCUUCCUUUGCAUCAGUGACAUCCACAUUUAAUUUGUUGCCUUAUUUAACAUAAUCACCUGCUUUCAGCCCAAAAUAAAUAAAAGGUACAUUUCCAGGGAGGGAAAAAGUUAGUAAAGCCUGUAUUGCUUUGCCCAGCCCCAAAUGUAGUAGUAUAGUUUGUUUAUUUACAGAGGAGCGACUGGGGUCUAAUAUGUCAAGAUAUUCAAAAAAACUGUUCCAAGUAUGAAUUCACAGUACUUAGAAUCCCGUGACUCAGUUUUCCGCAAAUCUGCUAUUUGGGGAAAUGCUCACAGAUCAGCAACUGUGCGCUUUUGCUGGCACCACAAGCCCUGCUAAUGUGCACAAUUCCAAACUCUAAGCAGUUUCGACAGGGAAAACAAUGAGAACAGCAUUGCAGCAUGAAGCAGUUGGCAGGGAACUUCAGCGAUAACUUAAUCUACCCUUUUGUUUUGGACACAAUCCCACUUUAAACUAUUUUGGAUAGGUAAAAACCCAUGGUAUCCAGUGGAUUUUCAUCAGUAACAAUCUUCGAAUAUUCCCACCCUCCAAAUUGGGGAGCAGUUGCUUCUGUCUGAAGCCCAGCUGAGUGCCUUUGCCUGAUUUCUCUGAUCUGGUAAAGAGCCAAGUUGGAGCAGUUGCCCAUCUCUUUCCCAUGUGCUCCAGGAUUAAAUUUGGAUCUGUUUCCGCUUCCCGGUGAUUGGUUUGGAGGGCCAGAUGGCCCAGUUCUUUGCAAUGAAAUAUAAUGUGAGAAAGAAUGUGGGUCUUUGAUAAUACUAUUGAGCUGCUGAAUCUACCAAGCUGAAGCCAUUCUACCCCAGGGUUUCUUGUUAUGUGAAAUAGUAAAAAUUUCCUUAUUGUUUAAGAUUGGUGACUAUAAAUUGAUGGCUUUUUUUUU